rnacentral:rRNA from 1 species
GAUGAACGCUGGCGGCGUGCCUAAUACAUGCAAGUCGAGCGAACGGACGAGAAGCUUGCUUUUCUGAUGUUAGCGGCGGACGGGUGAGUAACACGUGGAUAACCUACCUAUAAGACUGGGAUAACUUCGGGAAACCGGAGCUAAUACCGGAUAAUAUUUUGAACCGCAUGGUUCAAAAGUGAAAGACGGUCUUGCUGUCACUUAUAGAUGGAUCCGCGCUGCAUUAGCUAGUUGGUAAGGUAACGGCUUACCAAGGCAACGAUGCAUAGCCGACCUGAGAGGGUGAUCGGCCACACUGGAACUGAGACACGGUCCAGACUCCUACGGGAGGCAGCAGUAGGGAAUCUUCCGCAAUGGGCGAAAGCCUGACGGAGCAACGCCGCGUGAGUGAUGAAGGUCUUCGGAUCGUAAAACUCUGUUAUUAGGGAAGAACAUAUGUGUAAGUAACUGUGCACAUCUUGACGGUACCUAAUCAGAAAGCCACGGCUAACUACGUGCCAGCAGCCGCGGUAAUACGUAGGUGGCAAGCGUUAUCCGGAAUUAUUGGGCGUAAAGCGCGCGUAGGCGGUUUUUUAAGUCUGAUGUGAAAGCCCACGGCUCAACCGUGGAGGGUCAUUGGAAACUGGAAAACUUGAGUGCAGAAGAGGAAAGUGGAAUUCCAUGUGUAGCGGUGAAAUGCGCAGAGAUGUGGAGGAACACCAGUGGCGAAGGCGACUUUCUGGUCUGUAACUGACGCUGAUGUGCGAAAGCGUGGGGAUCAAACAGGAUUAGAUACCCUGGUAGUCCACGCCGUAAACGAUGAGUGCUAAGUGUUAGGGGGUUUCCGCCCCUUAGUGCUGCAGCUAACGCAUUAAGCACUCCGCCUGGGGAGUACGACCGCAAGGUUGAAACCCAAAGGAAUUGACGGGGGCCCGCACAAGCGGUGGAGCAUGUGGUUUAAUUCGAAGCAACGCGAAGAACCUUACCAAAUCUUGACAUCCUUUGACAACUCUAGAGAUAGAGCCUUCCCCUUCGGGGGACAAAGUGACAGGUGGUGCAUGGUUGUCGUCAGCUCGUGUCGUGAGAUGUUGGGUUAAGUCCCGCAACGAGCGCAACCCUUAAGCUUAGUUGCCAUCAUUAAGUUGGGCACUCUAAGUUGACUGCCGGUGACAAACCGGAGGAAGGUGGGGAUGACGUCAAAUCAUCAUGCCCCUUAUGAUUUGGGCUACACACGUGCUACAAUGGACAAUACAAAGGGCAGCGAAACCGCGAGGUCAAGCAAAUCCCAUAAAGUUGUUCUCAGUUCGGAUUGUAGUCUGCAACUCGACUACAUGAAGCUGGAAUCGCUAGUAAUCGUAGAUCAGCAUGCUACGGUGAAUAUGUUCCCGGGUCU